GAUCAUGGCUCAGGAUGAACGCUAGCGGCAGGCUUAAUACAUGCAAGUCAAGGGGGUAGCAAUACAACCGGCGCACGGGUGAGUAACACGUACACAACAUACCAUAUACUGAGGUAUAGCUUCGGGAAACUGAAGGUAAUCCCUCAUAGUAUUGUGAAAGGGCAUCUUUUUACAAUUAAAGUUUCGACGGUAUAUGAUUGGUGUGCGUUUGAUUAGCUAGUUGGUAGGGUAACGGCCUACCAAGGCAACGAUCAAUAGCUGGCGUGAGAGCGCGACCAGCCACACUGGAACUGAGACACGGUCCAGACUCCUACGGGAGGCAGCAGUAGGGAAUAUUGGACAAUGGGCGAAAGCCUGAUCCAGCCAUGCCGCGUGAUAGAUGAAGGCCCUCUGGGUUGUAAAUAUCUUUUAUCUGGGAAGAAACACUUCUAUUCUUAGAAGCUUGACGGUACCAGAGGAAUAAGCACCGGCUAACUCCGUG
rnacentral:rRNA from 1 species